UAGGAGGGGAAAACAUCAGGAUGUAAUGAUCAGUUGGAUAAAGGGAGUGAGGAGAAGAAAAAAGUCAAGGCAGACAUUUUAUAACUUUUGUCACUGGGUAAAGAGAAGGUAACAGAACAAAUAGAGGUUUAGGUUGGAGGGAAGUGAUACAUGUAGCUUUUGAGCAAUUGAAUCCGAAAUGUCUGAAGAGUGCCCAAGAAAAGCUGCCUAGCAGGUGAUGGAAUUGGUGAGCCUAAAGCUUGGGGGAGAAAUUGGAGAUGGAGAUUGAACUAGACAGUCAUUACUAUACAGAUGGUAGCUGAAAUCCUGAGUGUAGAAAAAUCCACCCAAGAAGAGUAUCAGUAAUGAGAAGAGCGGUAGGCUAAAACAGAAAGUUGGAACAGACACCCUUUCCAGAGCCUCCCUGAGCAAUCACUGUGCUGAGUACACCCCUCGCCCA
rnacentral:lncRNA from 10 species